rfam:Brassica napus, WGS project CCCW01000000 data, contig: 10067
GGCCCAUUAGCUCAGUUGGUUAGAGCGUCGUGCUAAUAACGCGAAGGUCACAGGUUCGAAACCUGUAUGGGCCA